GCUGUCGUCAGCUCGUGUCGUGAGAUGUUGGGUUAAGUCCCGCAACGAGCGCAACCCUUGUCAUUAGUUGCUACGAAAGAGCACUCUAAUGAGACUGCCGGUGACAAACCGGAGGAAGGUGGGGAUGACGUCAAGUCCUCAUGGCCCUUAUGGGUAGGGCUUCACACGUCAUACAAUGGUACAUACAGAGGGCCGCCAACCCGCGAGGGGGAGCUAAUCCCAGAAAGUGUAUCGUAGUCCGGAUUGUAGUCUGCAACUCGACUACAUGAAGUUGGAAUCGCUAGUAAUCGCGGAUCAGCAUGUCGCGGUGAAUACGUUCCCGGGUCUUGUACACACCGCCCGUCACACCAUGGGAGCGGGUUUUAC
rnacentral:rRNA from 1 species